rnacentral:tRNA from 1 species
UCCUGGGUAGCUCAGCUGAUAAAGAAUCUGCCUGCAAUGCAGGAGAUCCCAGUUCGAUUCUUGGGUCGGGAA